rnacentral:rRNA from 1 species
UAACGCGUGGGAAUCUGGCCUGGCGUGGGGGAUAACCGAGGGAAACCUCGGCUAAUACCGAAAAAGACCUGGGGGAGAAAGAUUUAUCGCUCUAGGAGGGGCCCGCGUCGGAUUAGCUUGUUGGUGGGGUAACGGCCUACCAAGGCGAUGAUCCGUAGCUGGUCUGAGAGGAUGAUCAGCCACACUGGGACUGAGACACGGCCCAGACUCCUACGGGAGGCAGCAGUGGGGAAUAUUGGACAAUGGGCGCAAGCCUGAUCCAGCAAUGCCGCGUGAGUGAUGAAGGCCUUAGGGUUGU